AGCCUCACAGCAGCCAGUUUACGUUUGCUUUUGUCUUUCUCUUGCUCUAUUAAACCCAGUUGCUUUCUUAGCCUCUUGUUCUGCUUCCCAUCGGUUGGGAAGAAUUCCAGAAAAAAAAGGGCUUUUUUAUUUUCCUCCCUGCUCCCUGGAUCUCCUUUUUUCAUGAUCUGACUUCGUGUGUGGAUAUUGUUGAAUACCAACUGCCAUUUCUAUUCAUAUAGUCUGCAUGCUGUUCUAGCGCUCCAUCUGUAUAGAUGCUCUGAUAAAUUGAUGUUAGACUGGUAAAGAUGGCUUCAAAGGCUCCUGUCAGUAGUAUCCGAGGAUUCUCUAAUGCUCUAUCUUCGGCUGUGCUCGAAUGGAUUUUGAUGUUUCUAUUGUUUAUUGAUGCCUUGCUAUCCUACCUAGUGACAAAAUUCUCUCGUCUUUGCAUGUUACAAACACCUUGUCUAUUCUGUUCAAGACUGGAUCACAUUUUUGGAAAUGAGAAACCAGGCUUCUAUCUUGAUUUAAUUUGCAAAGACCACAGAAUAGAGAUAUCACCAUUAUCUUUCUGUAGUGUUCAUGGGAAUCUUGCUGACAUGUGCAAGAGCUGUCUCCUUUCGGCUUCUACUGAGAGGAAAUCUACCCCUGAGACCAAUAGACAAUUUAUUGGUAGGCACAAAGGGCAUUCUCAUGACCAUGAUGAGGAUGCUGAGGACGACAACUUCAUUGUGUUUCAUGGGGAUGAGUUGGCAAACAUUCCGUAUCUCAAGAGGGGUCACAAACUACACGCCAUUGGCAUGGAAGAAGAUAAACCUGUUCAAGCGCAUGUGCCUGAUGUUGACAUUCCUUCAUUGUCAUCAACUAGGAAAGAUUUUGUUAAAGUUGAAGGUGGGCAAAGAAAAGGAAAGGAGAAACUUUUGGUUUCUCCAACAAAUUUUCAUGUGAAAAAUCAAGGAGUUGAUCGCUUCUCUCAUGUUGGUUACAGUGAAGUUAAAAUUUCCUCUGACUCUGAUUCUGAGGCUCCAGUCACACUUGAUGAAGGAAAUUCUUUGGCAUUUGGAGAUGACAAUACUCAGGAUGAUUUGGUGUCUGAUAUCGUAGCUUUCGAUAAUGCCAAUAUUACCAAAAACAGUUCAGCUGGUGUCUUGGAAGACAUAAGCCAAGAAAAGGUUAUUCACCCAGCGGUUAAUAUUUCAGAAGAUGAUGUCCUUGAAAAGUUGAUUCACUUUGCACCACUUCCUAAUGAACCUUGUGCAUCAUUUCCUGAAAAGCAAAUAAAUGUAGCUGAGUUUUAUAACGUUCCAUCUUCAUCUUCUAAUGCUGCUGAGCAUUGUUUGAUUGACACUAAUUCAAGCAAAGUUGAAGUCAAAUCAAUCCCCGUACAAUAUGAAUUUGUGUCACAUGAUUCUCGAGAUGGCCAAGUAGAAAACUCAGGUAUGAAAAAUAUUGAGUUACUUGAUGCUUCCUGCAUCAGCUUCCUUGAUGAUAAGAAAGAUACCUGUGCAACUCACAUCAAUUUGAAGAUAAGUAAUGAUACAAAUGAGCAUGGUCAAUCUAUGAGCACUAUUAUCGACUUGAAUGGUACCCAUGAGCAUACUGUUGAUAUUACAGGAAAAUCUUCAUCUUCUGUAUCUUCUCAAGUAAUUAUGAAUAAGGAUUCAUCUAUAAUUGAGGAAGAUUUGAUAGGUGACUCUGGUGAAUCUAUGAAUAAGCAUAUGGAUCUGAAUAAUGCUAAUAAGCAUGCUCUUGGUACUAGUGGAUGCUUGCCUUCUAAAAUUCAGGAAGAUCUAAUUAAUGGUUCUGAUCAAUCUAUGAGUCCUCAUAUGGAUCUGAAUGAUGCUUAUAAGCUUGCUAUUGAUACUGAUGGAAGCAUGCCAUCUCCUCAAUUUACUGAAGUGAUGAUGAGGAAGGAUUCAUUUAAAGUUCAAGAGGAUUUGAUUACUGAAUUUGGUCAAUCUAUGAAUACUAGUAUGGAUCUGAAUGAUGCUUACAAGCUGGCAACAAAGAGAAGUUUAUCGUCUCCCAGAUUUACUGAAGUAAUUAUGGGAAAGGAUUCUUCAAGAGUGCAGGAAGACCUCAAACUUCUGAUUUCUCAAAUAUCUGCAGCACAGGGGAUUGAGUCUCCAUGGAAUGAAAUGACUCCUAGUCCCAGAUCAUUUACACAAGGUGAUGAAUCAGUACUGCAGAACAUUACUAAGACACUCUCUCUUGAGAGGAAUGGAUCAGGAUUAGAAUCACUAGAAGGUAGCAUUGUAAGUGAAGUGGAAGGGGAAGGUGCUGUUGAGAGGCUGAAGAGACAGAUUGAAUUGGACAGGAAGUCAAUAAGCCUUCUCUUCAAGGAAUUAGAAGAAGAAAGAAAUGCUUCAGCAAUUGCUGCAAAUCAAGUCAUGGCCAUGAUGACUAGGUUGCAAGAAGAGAAGGCUUCUAUGCAAAUGGAGGCUGUGCAGUACCAAAGAAUGAUGGAAGAGCAAGCUGAGUAUGACCUUGCAGCACUCCAGAAAUGUAAUGAGUUACUUGCUCAAAGAGAGAAAGAAAUAAAAGAUUUGCAAUAUGAGGUGGAAAGCUGCAGGAAACACUAUGCUGACGAAAUUUCUGCUGAUAAAACACUUGAAUUUUGUGGUAAUUUCCUUGAUAAGGAGAUUGCAUUUUGUGACAAAACUGGGGAAGCUAAAAUAUCAAGAUUUACUGAAUUAGGAAAUUAUAAAGACCACUUAUCUUUUUUUGAGGAAGAGGCAACAUAUAUAUCAAAUUGUUUGAAGAAGUUAGAGAAAAAAUUGUAUCUUUUUUCUAAUAAUGGCAUCUAUGAUGAUGUUUCUGAUUUUAAUCUGAAUAGCAAUAUUGAUGAUCCAAAUGAAGUUUCUGGUAAAACAUCUGUGAAUGUUGAUGGUGAAGAGUAUUUUGAAAGGAAUGCAAUGUCAGAAAGUGGUGUUGGCACAUACGGUCAAUAUUCCAUUGAUGAUCUAAAAGAUGGUCCUUUGGGAAAUAUUGAAAACUUUGUGUUGGAAGAGAAGGUAUCUAGAAGACGUUUACAUCCUGUGGAACAGAAUAAUAGUGACAGAUCUGACAUUGACAAGCAACACUUAUUAAAGGCAGGUGAUUUCCAUGAACUAGCCUCUUUUGAGAAUGAAGUGUCAAGUCUAAGUCGGAGGUUGGAAGCACUUGAAGUUGAUCGCAAUUUCCUAGAACAUGCUAUCAAUUCACUUAAAGCUGGAGAACAUGGUGUUCAAUUUAUUCAAGAGAUAGCUCGUGAUCUACAGGAACUAAGGAGCAUUGGAAUCAAUAGAAGAAAUCAUGUAUAGCUUGUUCAGCUACAAAUUCAAUCUAAAUGAAAAACUCUUCCCCUGGCAAUGAGUCGUUUGCGACAAGAUCAUUACUUGAUUGGCAUCUUGAUGAAUCCACAAUGCCAAAAGGUUCCAACCAAUAAUAGAACACAAGCAACACUGUAAUGAUGCAUUUAGUGGUAAUUCAAGUCUUAUUCUGGCAGCGGUCGUGUACUUAGUUUUACAAUUCCGGUGACAACAGAUCGACUGUAGCAUAUAUCGAAGGUACUCGAGUUGAACAAUUGAGAGCGCACAUCAUCAGUUGUAUAUUAACAUCAGCAUUCAGAAAUGAGGGCUGAUGCUUCUUUAAAGGCUUGCUCCUCUCCCUGUUGCCUGCAAGUGUUUCUUCUGUUUUUAUUUGUAGCAUAUGUUUUCCAUAUUGUCUUGAUUUGAUUAAGGGUUUAUUUUUUAAAACACCCUUUUGCUCUUAUAAUGGAGUGAUCUGCAUGAGUGAUUGUCGCGACAUAGAUCAAUUAGUGUGCAUUGUAAAGUUUCGUUUGUAUAACACAGGAUUAGCGGAUCAUUGGUUGAUUUUAGUGUUUGUUUUAUAGUAUCUCGGAAAUGUAAUUAACAUUAAGAUUAUGCUUUCUUCAUGGAAAUUGUUUUUGUUUGCCUA